ACUGACGGGGUAUCGGGCUUGCUUGGACAUGCCCCAAGUUGCCCUAAAAUCCACAGAGCAGGAAACCUGUGCGCACUCACUGGCAGACAGCUCGCGUUCAGGAGACGUUAAACCGACUGAUGGAUCUUCACUGCAGGGACAGACUGACAGGAGAAGUGGAUGCCUUUAUUGGAUAAGAGCAGCUGAAGAGAGACAGGAAAGGGGGGAGAGAGAGAGAAUGACAUGAAGCACAUUGCCCCAGGCUGGAAACAAACCCGCCCACUACAGUAAGGACUCACUAAGGACCAGGACCACCUGGUGCUGCUGCUAGUUGCCAGAUUUUGGAUUAUCCUGCAUAACAAUGGGCCAAAGGACUGUUUGGACCAGCUCCAUUCCCGAGCUGCCAGGGACCGCACUGCCUCUUGCCCUUCAGAGACAGUGGCUCUCCUCCCCAUCGUAGCACACAUGGAUGCACGGCCGCUCUGGGAUGAUGCUCCCCCUCACACACAUUCAACUGUUAAUUAACGUGUCCUUGUGUUUAUGGCCAUCCAGUGGCCCACAAGGGAGUCAGUGAGGUCUACAUUUGUGUACACACAGUCAUGCACACACAGUGUUAAGUUCAUACACAGCAUGUCAUUUGUACAGUUAACAAGUGCACAGUGGGCAAAACAGAUGCAUUUUAGUGAUAGUAAAAAAGAAGAAAACUCACAAUAAAAAAUGUCUCAAAGGAAUAAAAGCCUAAUUCAACUUUGUGUGGGCUGAAUAAGUACA